AUCUAUGGCCAUAUCACCCUGAACGUACCUGAUCUCAUCUGAUUUUGGAAGCUAAGCAGGGUCAGGCCUGGUUAGUACUUGAAAAGCAGACCUUGGGUA
rnacentral:rRNA from 1 species